rnacentral:pre_miRNA from 1 species
AUAAAAAUUACCUGGGGAUUUUGUUAAAAUGCAGAUUCUCAUUAAAUAGGAAUAAGGUAUGAGAUUCUGCAUUUCUAAAACUCCCAGGUGGUGCUGAU